ensembl:lncRNA
GUCAUUCCAUGUGUGUGUGUGUGUUGAUGGGGGUCAUUCCAUGUGUGUAUGUAUUGGUGGGGGCAUUCUGUGUGUGUGUGUGUGUUGGUGGGGGUCAUUUCCUGUGUGUGUAUGUGUGUGUGUUGGUGGGGGUCAUUCCAUGUGUGUGUGUGUGUUGAUGGGGGUCAUUCCAUGUGUGUGUGUGUUGGUGGGGGUCAUUUCCUGUGUGUGUGUGUGUGUUGGUGGGGGUCAUUCCAUGUGUGUGUGUGUUGGUGGAGGUCAUUUCCUGUGUGUGUGUGUGUGUUGGUGGGGGUCAUUCCAUGUGUGUGUGUGUUGGUGGAGGUCAUUUCCUGUGUGUGUGUAUGUGUUGAUGGGGGUCAUUCCAUGUGUGUGUGUGUUGGUGGGGGUCAUUCUGUGUGUGUGUGUUGGUGGAGGUCAUUUCCUGUGUGUGUGUGUAUGUGUUGAUGGGGGUCAUUCCGUGUGUGUGUGUGUUGGUGGGGGUCAUUCCAUGUGUGUGUGUGUUGGUGGGGGUCAUUCCAUGUGUGUGUGUGUGUGUUGGUGGAGGUCAUUUCCUGUGUGUGUGUGUGUGUUGGUGGGGGUCAUUCUGUGUGUGUGUGUGUUGAUGGGGGUUGUUCCGUGUGCGUGUGUAUGUUGGUGAGGGGCCAUUCCCUGGCCCUGCACCUGGAGCUCUGACCGAGUGCCUGCCCAUCAGAUGGUUCCUGAUAGUUCCUUGACCCAUUUGUACUGUUUUGUUUUGCAUUUUGGCUGCAGUGGAUCUUGCUGCACACAGGCUUUUUCUUGAGAUGAGUGGGGCUCUUCUUACUGUGGAGCAGGGGUUCUAGGGGCUUCUGCAGUUGCGGCACUCGGGCUUAGUCACCCUGCAACACGCAGGAUCCUCCCAGGCCACACUGGCAGGCAGAUUCUUAACCUCUGCACCUCCAGAGAAGUCUGCCCCAUUUGUGCAUGAAGGGGCUCCCUGACUGCGUCACAGGGGGACACCCCCAUGGCCAGAGGCGACCAGUUGGCGCCCUCAGCCUCUGCGGUCUCACCGAGAUCUGAUUUGCGGUAGACCCCCAUCUUGGGGUACGAAAGAAACAGAACCGACACAGUUUGCUCAAGUGACAUAUUUCAAUAUAAUCUCUAAAACUCUAUGAAUUGAACAGAUAAAAUACCUCUGGGCUAUUUUGUUACAAAAUAUUUGCCAUUUGGAUUUGUCGCUGGGUGCAGCCACCUUGCUUUUCUUUCCCUUGAGAGGCUGCUCUUGACGGGUAAGGAGGCGUACGCGGCGACAGCAGGGGUGCAGCGAGGGUGUAUGUACAGCAGGACACAGGGACAGACAGACCGGUGGUUGGCGGGGAAGCCUACUGGCACACUGACGUCUGGCGGGCUGUGGGGGCCAGGGGGCGGGGUCAGGGCUGAGCACGAGAGUGGGUG